UGGGGAAUAUUGCACAAUGGGCGCAAGCCUGAUGCAGCCAUGCCGCGUGUAUGAAGAAGGCCUUCGGGUUGUAAAGUACUUUCAGCGGGGAGGAAGGGAGUAAAGUUAAUAACUUUGCUCAUUGACGUUACCCGCAGAAGAAGCACCGGCUAACUCCGUGCCAGCAGCCGCGGUAAUACGGAGGGUGCAAGCGUUAAUCGGAAUUACUGGCGGAAAGGGGACGCAGGCGGUCUGUCAAGUCGGAUGUGAAAUCCCCGGGCUUAAACUGUGAACUGCAUUCGAAACUGGCAGGCUAGAGUCUUGUAGAUGGGGGUAGAAUUCCAGGUGUAGCGGUGAAAUGCGUAGAGAUCUGGAGGAAUACCGGUGGCGAAGGCGGCCCCCUGGACAAAGCCUGACGCUCAGGUGCGAACGCGUGGGGAGCAAACAGG
rnacentral:rRNA from 1 species